CAGUAGCCGCGGGAAUACGGAGGGGGCUAGCGUUGUUCGGAAUUACUGGGCGUAAAGCGCACGUAGGCGGCUUUGUAAGUUAGAGGUGAAAGCCUGGAGCUCAACUCCAGAAUUGCCUUUAAGACUGCCGAGCUAGCAGGUGAGAGAGGUAAGUGGAAUUCCGAGUGUAGAGGUGAAAUUCGUAGAUAUUCGGAAGAACACCAGUGGCGAAGGCGGCUUACUGGCUCAUACUGGACGCUGAGGUGCGAAAGCGUGGGGAGCAAACAUGAUUAGAUACCCGCGUAGUCCCUGUCUCUUAUAC
rnacentral:rRNA from 1 species